rnacentral:lncRNA from 1 species
GCCGCGGCCGGGAGGGACCGAGCGGGGAGCAAGGCCUGCGGGGAGGCGCAGGAUGGACGCGUUGGCUGUCAUGAUGUAGGACCUCCUGACCUAGAACCAUGCCCGGCGCAGGGAGAACAACGAGCUUACGGACCGGGUGCGGGGGCUGCUGUGCGAGAAAGCCUACCUGCUGGCCCGGGAGCGUUCGCCGGCCCACCUGGUGGCUUUCCCUGGACGUUUAACGGCGACUCCGCCCGGCCUCCCGACUUUUUGAUGCAGGCGUUCUCUUACAUGACUUUCUUCGAGGCUAGAUUCUCGAAAGACAUCCUGAAGGUGGCUUUCUUAAUUAGCUGCCUCACCGGCUGGCGGAGCAGUUCGUAGUCGCCUACAUCGAGAGGGAGAGCCCCGUCCUGGCUCAGUACUGGGGCUUCGUGGACGCGCUGUAGCGGGUCUUCGCCGUCGUGGGUAGGAAACAGUCGGGCCGGAUCCCCGGUGUCUGGGGAGCGGCUGCCGGCCGGGCCCGCGCGAGCCGCUUCACUCCUACAAGCCCGGCUCACUAGUUCCAAGCUGCUGGACUUUGACCCUCGCUGGGAAGCUUGAUCGCCGCCUGUUCUCGCCAAUCUCUAUGCCUUUGCACUGCCCAGCAACCCGGUCACUGCCCAGGACCUGUUAAAAGUUGAAUGGACCUCCCAGAAUCACGCCGCUGCCACCGCCGUUUCUAGAGACGGCUUUUGGCCACCUUUGAGAAUCAGGGUCAAACUUGGAAGGGCCUGCAUUUGUCACACUUCCUCGGACACUAAUUUGGAUAGUUCAGGCCCAGAGACGGCUUCCCGGGUUAGUGUGCCUGACAACACUGAAGAAAAAUUGUGACAUUUUCCUUCCCCAGAAUUACUUCGUUUUAUACAUUUCACUUCUCUUCUGAAAUCACAGCAAUGCCAGUUUGCGCCUUUUGGUCUGAGGAACGCAGGCCCUGGCCACUACCAGGAAAAAGUAUUUACUUUUAAAACUUGAAUGUAUAUCUUUACCGUAUGCCUAGUACAGUAGUGCUUGGAAGAAACAGAUUAGUAAGACAAAAUAUAUGUCUUCAAGAACACUUACGUUCUGAGAAAGAAUUCUGAAUGCAGAUUCUAAUGUCUGAUCCUUUGCACAUGGCCUGCUAUCAACAAUCCUCUACAAUGAUUCUCAGCAUCACCUAGGGAGCUUAUGUAAAAUCUCAAAUUCCUGGGCCCUAUCCCCAGAGUUUCUUAUCAAGUAAGUCUGCAUUGGGAUCUGAGGAUUUGCAUCUCUAACAAAAAUUCCUAGGCGAUGCUCACACUGUUGGUGUAAGGUUUCCUUGAUGGAGAACUAUCAAAGCAGUCAAAGCUAUCAAAAUAAAAAAGAAUUCUGAUUGGGUGCAGUGGCUCACACCUGUCAUUCCAGCACUUUGAGAGGCCAAGGUGGGCAGAUCACAUGAGGCCAGGAGUUCAAGACCAGCCUGGCCAACAUGGCAGAAACCCCAUCUCUACUAAAAAUACCAAAAUUAGCCGGGCAUGGUGGAACACACCUGCAAUCCCAGCUACUCGGGAGGCUGAGGCAAGAGAAUCGCUUGAACCUGGGAGGCAGAAGUUGCAGUGAAACAAGUUGGUGCCAAUGCAUUCCAGCCUGGAUGAUGGAGCGAGACUCUGUCUCAAGAAAAAAAAAACAAAAACAAAAACAGAACUCUGCCUCAUAGCGUCUUUUAAGUUAUACACUGGACCUAUCCUUUCCUCACUGACAGACAUUUUAAAAAUUUUUUGGUAAGGCCUAGUUCAUAUAAAAUGUAAUCCAAGCCAAAAGUUAACAAGAAUAAGGGGAGGAAAGGGGACUCCAAUAGCAGAGAAAGGUAUUUACCUGGGAUAUACACUGCAAGAAAAUCAAAGCUAUAAGAAACGUCCAUGAAUAGUAGCCAUAAGGCAUCAGAGUGAUAAAAUUCCUGUCCCUAGGAGGGAAUAUUGGAGUUUGCCAGAGAAACAGAAUGAGAGAGACAGAGAGGUUUAUUGUAGGAAUUGGCUCAUAUGAUUACGGAGGCUGAGAAGACCCACGAUCUGCCAUCUGCAAGCUGGAGAAUCAGGAAAGCUGGAGGUGUAAUUCAGUCAAGUCCAAUGGCCAGAGAAGCAAGUGUACUGAUAUCCAAGAGCAGGAGAAAAUAGAUGUCCCAGAACAAGCAGAGAGGCUGAUUUUGUCCUUCCUCUGCCUUUUUGUUUCAUAUGGGGCACUGAAUGGACUGAUGCCCAUCCACAUUAGUGAGGGUGGAUCUUCUUUACUCAGUCUACCAGUAGAAAUGUCAAUGACUUCCAGAAACACCCUCACCAACACACGUGGAAAUAAUGUUUUACCAGGUAUCUGGGCAUCCCUUGGUUCACUCAAGUUGACACAAAAUUAACCAUCACAGAAGGAGACUGGCCUUACUCUGAAAUUAGGAAACUAAAGAAGUGACCAGAAUGGAGACUAGGUAGAGACAACUAGUUCUCUACCAAACAUGUACAGUUAUUCGUUGGUAUCUGAAGGGGAUUGGUUCCAGGAACUCUCAGGGAUACCAAAAUCUGCAGGUGCUCAAGUCAUUUAUAUAAAAUAUUACAGUAUUUGCAUAUAACCUUUGCACAUCUUCCAUAUACUUUAAAUCAUCUCUACAUUACUUAUAAUAAUGAAUGUGUAAAUGCUAUGAAAAUAGUUACUACACUAUUGUUUAUUUGUAUUUUUAUUGAAUUGUUUUGGGGUGGGGGGCAGCUGUAUCUUUCUUAGUAAUAGAACCCCUGGUUUUAGCUGGGCACAUGACUGCCCUCAAUAAAGAUUAAAGUACCCCAGCCUUCCUUGAGAUUGUGGCCAUGUGACUGAACUUUAGACAGUGAGAUAUAAGCAGAUAUCUUCUGUGGCAGUGUUAGGAAACUAUUAAAGACAGUAAGAACAUUGCCCUUUGCCUUCUUUUUCCUUUCUUCAUUUUUCUGCCUGGAAUGCAAAUGUGAUGGCUAACACCCUAGCAGCCAUUUUAGAUUAUGAAGAUGAGAGUCACUCCCCAGGAAGGGUGGACCUGAAAGCUGGAUUCUAGAUGUGGAAUGACAAUACCAGCCCUGGACUACCUACCUGUAGGCUGUGUGUGUGUGUGUGUGAUUGACAGAGAGAGAGAGAGAUAGAUACCACAAGUAACACAAAGCAUCAUACCUGGGACUGGGAAGGUUAAUGUUUAAACAUUUUAAAUGUGGCAUUGGUUUGUUGAAGACAGUCAAGCAGUAGGUGCUGCAGGCUUUGUUGAGGCUAGAAAGCUGUUGGUCUUUAUUAGGUGAUGGCAAAACAAUGGAUCACAUUUUCAUGUGCUGUGUCUUGGGAGGCAAAUGAUGAGAAUGUAGGAUUGGGGAAAAUGGUAAGGAAAAUCCAAAAUGUUCAUGUUUUCUAACCCCUUCUUGCCAAUCUUAAAAGAAGGACAAACAGGCUAGAUUAAGCAAGUCUACAGUUACAAUUGGAAGGAAACACAGCCGUACUAAGGAAGUACUCUGUCUGUGGCCUGCAGUCUAGUUUGACUAGGUCCUGUAUUUGAGCUUUGAAAGAGUAAAGAAUACAAGUGCUCGUAUACCCCUGAAGUAGUUACCAGCAGUGACUGCAAGGAGGUAAUCUUAUGGGAUGAAACUAUAACUCUGUAUUAACCAUCAUAUAUAGCAUAUAUGUGUAUAUGUAUGUGUGUGUGUGUAUAUGUGUAUAUAAAUAUAUGUGUGUGUAUAUACACACAUGUACACACCCUACAACCCAGUGAUUUCAAAAAAUUAAACAUUUGUUUAGCUCAUGAAUCUGUGGGUUGGGUGAACAUUUCUAUUGGUCUUGGCUGGGCUCACCUGUACCCAGUCAGCUGCAGGGUCUAGCUCUUCUUAUCUUGGCUGGGAUCUCACACAUGUCUAGGAUCAGCUGCUUUACUAGUCUAGGAUUGUCUUGGCUGAGACAGGUGGACUACUCAGUUCUCCUCCACUGCCUUAUCCUUCAGCUGGCCAGCCCAGAAAUGUUGCCAUGUUUACAGCAUAAGAGCAAGCAAGAAAGAAUAAUAUGCAACCACUUUUCCAAGCCUAAGGUGAAAGGGCGGGCAGAACCUGUGGUGUUAGGAGGCAACUCAUACCAGCCCAUGGGUCUACCGUUUAAUUUUCAGAAAUUUGGCAAGCUGAUUGUUAACACAGCUGUUGUUUAAUUUAUGUACUUGUAAUUAAAUAAUUUACAUUAAAACAAAGA